rnacentral:lncRNA from 1 species
CACAAGCUUGCCCUAAAUUCUCCCUUAAUUACCCAAUUCUUUUCUCAUUUUUGAAAAGAGGGGACAGACAAGUGAAAAGAGAACAGGGACAGAACCCCAUCCCCUUAAAAAAAAAAAACCUAGCUGCCUCUUCUUCACACAUAUAGACACACGAUUCUUACUCAUGUAAUUCACGCCUCUAUUUUCAUUCACCCACAUACACACCCCUAGUAAUACAAUUCCCACAGAUCUGAAGCCGAUUGAGAAAAACAAAAACAAAAUAAUGAAUUAAAAGGUUUGAAUUCGAGAUCUGAGAUGCAAAAUUUUGAAAUAAAAACAAAAGAAAAGAGUGAAUUUCAAGGAGAACUAAAGCUGAAUCGAUUAUUGUGGAUUGGUGAAGCUUGAAUAUUUUUCUGUUUUUUUUUUUCAAAAGCUAUUAAGUUCGAAAUCAGCUGCUGUUUGCUGGAAUUUCUUGCUGAGCUUCGUCUUCACUGUUUUGCUAGCCUUGAUUUGUCUCAAUUCAGCUAUUUCUUUCGCCUUGCAGAAAUUCUGCCCUUUCUCGGCUGGAAGUUGCUUGCCGAGUUCCAUAUUUGGUCUCUCCUUGCUGUUUUUUGGUAUGUAGCUAUAACUUUGUAUGCUUCCGUUAAGAUAUUAAUUUGAAGAUCUGAAUUUUCAGUUCUGUUUCAUAUGAUAUGUUUUUCUUGCUGUUUGAUGAAUAACUUGGUUUAAUUCUGAGGAUUUGAUUCUUAGUUUAAUUCUAAGUCAAAGUAAAUAACCUUGUAUGCUUUAAUCCACCAAACACCUUUAAAUUUUAAGUUGUUGAGCAUUCUACGUAUUUUGACCUUUUUAUCUUUAAUUGAUCUAAAUAUUUAUAAUGUGGACUCUUCUUUCUUGUGUGAGAAUUGAACUGUACAGGUAAAUUAUAGUAGCUGAAAGACACGUGAUUAGAAUGGUGUAUAACUUUAAAUGGUGUUAUUAACUUAUAAAUGGAUUUAGUGUAUCUGAACGUUUUUUCACGCUUAACUAGGGAAAGAAUGUCAUUUUUAGUCAAUACUUUGGAUCCAAUUGUUCAUGCCUUAAUUAGUACUAUAGAAAUAUUAAUCUCAAGGCAAUUGAGCUGUUAUAAAAUUAGUUGAGAGCAGAUCGUAGAAUUUUGGUUGUUAACGUGAUGUUACUAGGAAUUGGUUUUGGGUUUUGUACCUUUGUCUGUCAAUUCUGGAGGACGUAGAGAUUGCUUUAAAUUUUGGAAGAAAACAUGUCAAGGUGUAGGCAACAAUAGUUAUGUGAUAAUACUUUUCCACAAUAACUCCAUAACUAAUUCAUAUCGUAGCUUGCUUUAGGCGCGAUUAAUAAAUCAUCGUGGCUAUGGGUACGGUUCUCGUGGCAUAGUCACAAUACGUAAUCCCUAAUUCGAGUGUGUGUUUCACGUGACUCGACCAUAACUUUAAAUGUUAAUAAUAAAAUUAACACGUUGUAAAUCGCGGGUGCAUUUCACGUGGCGCGAUUCGUAAUGUAUACAAAAAUAAAUGAGUGCGCGACAUCGCGGCUUAUUCAAAUAAACUCCAUAAAUAAUUAAAAGCGGUUAAAAAGUUAAAAUGCAUAAUAGGUUAUAAAUUUGUAUUAAUUAGAUAAUUAGGCCAAUUAUUAAUAGUUGAGCGACCGUUCUAAAACCACGGAAUUCGGGAGUGCCUCACACCUUCUCCCGGGUUAACGAAAUUUCUUACCCG